GACCACAUGUUUAGCUGUGGGCCCUGCUGCACUUUGGCAUGCAAAGGGUUACUGAUAUCUGCUUUUAGGCAAGACACCUCUAAAAAAAGCAAAGACAGUACAUUUAACCCUACAGAAAUACAGCUCACUGGGCCUGUGGUAGUUCCUAUUAAGAUAUACAAAGUAUCUCAGCAAGGGAAAAUUUAACUUACAUACAACACAUGAUUUUAAGUAAAGAAAUAUUGAUGGGGCGGGGGGGAACAAGUAUUUUUUUAGCUCUAAUUUAUGGCUGAGCAGCUUCAUUUUAGUUACUUCAUGGGAAUAUUUUAAACCAAGCCUGCAUAAUAUUAAAAUAAGUUAAAAUGUAUGUAAAAUUUAUGAGAGCAUGUCAGGUGCAAUGCUUGAUAAAGUAAGUUUAAUGCUUCAGAAUUUUUUUCUUCAGGCAGAGAAAGCUGAAUCCUGCAAUUCUAGGUUACAGUAUAAUUUUAGAAACUCUUUUCCAUUAUACCAUUCUUUUAUUAAUGAGAUCCAACCCAAUUUAACAAAAAGAGGUAAAUUCCUAAAGAGUUUGUGGAAAGUCCUCAGCAGGUUGGAGUGUGUGAUAAAAGAGGGUAUUCUCCUACUGUUCAUAGGAUCUAUCCCAUUUUAUAAAAACACAGAGGAAAUCAAUUUACAGCAAACUUUCCAAGUGUGCCUCUCCAGUGCGGUUUUCCUUCUGGAAAUGCUGCCUCGCUCCAUGAACAAACAAAAGCUUUGGCAGUUGACAGGGGUUGUACAUCACUUUGAAAACUCUUCAUUUACCAGGGGUGUGUCAUGUUGCUUCAUUGUGUGACACUCCCAAUUAUCGUGACAGAGCUAAAUGACAAAGUACUGUCACCCCACUGGAAAUUCCGACCAGCUUCUUCCCAUUUUUCCGCCUGGUCAUGGGAACAUCGCUGAGCCGGUACAAAGGAGCGGCAGGAGCCGCAAACAGGGGCUGGAAUGGCUGCAUUCUGCUCUGCUGUAUUAAAAAUUCAGCUCCUUGGCAAUAUUAAAUCUGAAUUUACUUCCAUCAAACGGAAACUUAGCAUAUCUCAUUCUUCCAUUAUAAAAUAUUGACAUCGGGAAGAGUGAAUCCUGAAAUGAAGAUUACAGAUGAAAACUAUGCACUUGGUAAUUAUCAUUUUUUUUUCUUUGUUAUUAUUCCUUUCCUCUGAGGAUUGCACAGGCUGUUGCAAACAGUAAUGAAGUUAGCAUGCAGUGCCAAUGCAAAGUGUGCUGCAAAGUUAGUCCUUCCCUCAUUAUGGAUGAGGGAGGCGAGGCAGCGGGAGGAGGGUGAUUUCCCCAGCCAAACUCGCACACGAGCGGGGCAGCCCUUCGCCUCACGUCUUAAUCACCAUCCCUGGUGAUGAGACCCUCGUGCCAUCUUGUUUCUGUCUUCUUUUGUUCUGCUGUUUCCCUGGGUUUUUUUAGGUCUUUUCUGGGGCUCAGAGCUAUUAAUAUCAAUGACAUUUUUUUUUUGUCACAAACUAAACAGCCAGUUCACAAAUCCUUUCACUCCCGACAAAUCCACUGCCCUGUCCUGUAAUGUUCUCGAAUAACCACAGCACUGGAAAAUACAGUUACAGGCGUGGAAAUAUCCAAGCAAUGAUUCCCAACAGCUACAGUAUGAGGAGAUCAACACACUGGGCAACCUGCACUAGAAUAACCCUUUGGUUCCUGCGUGUGGAGAUACCGCAUGGCUUGGGAUGGCUUCCCAACAGAAGAGCUGUGUCAUCACCCUUCUGAAAUUCAAACUUGGUCAAUUAACUGGUGUCUCUCUCCAAGGUGAUCACUCAGAGAGGUCCCACACAGCAUGGUUUGCAGGUGCUCACUGAGCACCUCCACAUACUCCUGAACCCUCCUGGUUGCCUGUGGAUGUGCCCGAGGAGUGUGAUAUACACAGCGUCUGACACUGGACACCGCGUCCGUCUCAGAUGCUUCUUACAAAAAUCAAUCUAAAUCAAUAAAUUGUCCACUCUCCUCAUGCAGCAUUUGCAGAGGUUCAAAGACAGGACCAAUUACUCUUAAGGUUGAAUUGUCAGGUGUCAGAUGAGAAUAUAGAAGUUGAAGCAUUAUAUUUAGGAGCAGAUUUAUUUAGAGGACCUGAAGAAUUUGCUUUGCUAUCAAUAGGUCUAUAAAGAGAGCUUUUAGAGCACAUCUGGCAGAAACUGUUUCCUUGCGAAUUAAUAGGAGUGUUGGUUUGGGUUUUUUUCUUUCCUCUUCUUUUUGCACAGUUCAAUCACAAAGCAGGUAAACUCACACUCAAGCUCAUUGCAGUCAAGGCAGUAAAGCUCCUGACCUUGAAGGGCUUUUGGUCCCAACCCUUCUUGCCAAACACAUUACCUUUUCAUUGCCCAAUUUUCUAGGUGAAGACGCAAAUUCCCUGUGCUUCACUUAUGGAUAAUAUAUAAAUGUCUUUAUCAUGCAUUCAGCUUCUUGGGUUCAGUCCCAAAACUGAGACCCCAACCACUCUCCAGGUCUAAAGGUGAACCUUGCCAGAACCGCAGCACACAAAUACCACAGCUUAUUCUAAUCACACAGGAUGUUCCCAAGUUUACCAGUUCUCAUCCCAGAAUACCAACCCCCCCUCUUUUAGCACUCCUGACAAAUCAAUAUGCAUUAUUAUUACGUGCUCAGAUACUACAUCAGAUUUCUGCUCAUGCCAAAAUUUCAGCUUGCUGUUCCCUGGAGUAUUUAUGCUUGUGUACUGUAUUUAACAACAGCCCAUUCAAAAUGCUCACAGCUCCUAGGAAUGAAAUGCACAUAAUUUAGGAAUAGCUAUCUGGCUAUUCAGGCAUCAUGCUGUGUCAAGGGAAAAUUAAAUCUCUGACUCUCCCCUCUCUUUUAAAACAAACCUGUACUUUGCAUCAUAUUUUGGGGAGCUGCAUGGAAGUUUCAUAAAGAGCAAGUGAGCAUGGCUCUUUUUCCUGUUUAAUGGCAGUGCCUCCCCAUUAAUGCUCCAAAAUGAUACAGUAGUUUAAAAAAAAAAUGCUCUCAGCAUGCAGGCAUUGUAUCACAUUAAGAAAUCACGAUUUUCUAGGCACUGCACAGCAUUAAUUACACUGAGCAUGCUGCAAAUUUAAAUUAAAUGAUAUGCCAUGUUCUGUUGUAAAUAUCAAAAUGGAUUGCAAGAUACAGCCCCAUAUUUGCUUCUGAUUGGCAUUUGUGCACUGAACAGGAUCAGAAAACCUCUAUGAUAUAUAAUUUCUUUUUGUUUUUUAGGCGCACCUGAUGCAAACGUACUUUUUAUUUUCAGGAGUACCUAAGAGCACAGUUAUGGGUCAGAACUUGCCUGUUCUGAAAAAAAAACAAACAAACCCUCCCUCAAUAAUAAUAAUAAUAACAAUAAAACAACACAAAAAGCCCUGUUUGCCUUCAUUCCCCCUUCUAACAUAACAAAAUAAAAUAUGUUUCUUUCCCCACAGUAAGUAUUUACAAUAUAGGGAAUGGAGGGGCACUGAGUGGAAAAUGAGGAAUAUGAGGGACUGAAGCAGGAGGAUCUUAUUUUUUGUCAUGAAGUUGAGUACCCAGGAUACCAUUUAAGCAGAUGUGGGUUCAGAUCACCCUAGCAGAGAAGAGCUGCUCUUUAGAGCUGGAAUUUAAGGCAUAAGAGGAGUGAGGGGUGAGCUGGGCUUGGGGCUGGCUCAACUCUAUUGUGAUGAGGCAAGCCUGAUCUGGUGAUUCAGCGAGAAAAAGUGAAGAGAAUAUAAGCAAUAAAAGAAGGUCUGUUAGUAUUUGUAUUUUUCUCGGCACAGAUAUUUUGCAAUUUUAUAAUAUCAGAUUGACUUGUCACAAUCUCACAAGCCUCUGCCCUUAAACACCAGGGUGAGGUGUAUUUCUAGUGUAAUUUCACAUAUUUCUAUGUGAUUAAAUACUAAACAAAUAUUUUACAACUUUGCACAUCAGAGAAAGGAUGGGAUUUAGUUAUUUGUAUAGAGACAGCGUUAAAAAAAAAAAAAAAAUCUGUGUUUUUCAGGGCUGAUUUAAGACGUUUAGGAAAUGAUGAGCCCUGAGCUGAGAACUACAAAGACUAAACUCCAGUUUUCCUGGCCCAUUUUGCAGCAGUCUUUUGUGUACAAGAACUACAACUCUGGAACAAACAAACAAACAAAAAAUAAAAUAAAAAAAGCAGCCUGAUCUAACCCAGAACAGUGAAUGGACAUUGAAACCAAGCUGAGGAUGCCUCAACCUUGUAAAACCUUUUUCUCUCAUCUUCUGAAGAAGAAAUUCCUCUGGAGUCUUCCUCAGUUAGUCUGAAAUACACUUCUGCUGGUCAGGAGUGAAAUAUUCUUAUGAGCCUUUUUUUUUUUCUGCUGGGCAUCAGAUAAGACAGUCUUUGUCCCAGCUUUUACUGGAGCUCCCAGUGUCUCUUUUGGGAAUGAUUCUGUGUGUUCAGGCAGUGGCUGGUGACCACAAUAAAACCUGUAUGACUCUGA